UACGGAGGAUGCAAGCGUUAUCCGGAAUGAUUGGGCGUAAAGAGCUCGUAGGCGGUUUGUCACGUCUGCUGUGAAAUCCCGAGGCUCAACCUCGGGCCUGCAGUGGGUACGGGCAGACUGGAGUGCGGUAGGGGAGAUUGGAAUUCCUGGUGUAGCGGUGAAAUGCGCAGAGAUCGGGAGGAACACCCGUAGCGAAGGCGGCACUCUGGGCCGGUACUGACGCUGAGGAGCGAAAGCGUGGGGAGCAAACAGG
rnacentral:rRNA from 1 species